AUUUUAUGAGCCCGCUAUUUUAAGCAUAAAACACAUGCUAAAUUCAGGUACAUGAAUAAUGAUGAACAAAAUGCAACAGUACAUGAAUCAUGAUGAGCAAAAUAUAACAGUAUACUCCGCACUCUGUCUAAAACCACAUAUAGUUAAACUAUAUAUUUUCUCUCUACUUGGAAUAGAUUCCACAUUCAUGCAAUGGAUGCCUACGUAUAAGAAGAGAAGUUAAGCAAAAAGUAGGUUCAUAUCUCUCUCCUUCAAUCUCGAUUUAUUAAAACAUGGACUUGCAAGCACCUUAAGGUUAAAGAUAAAGUAGGCGACAGGAACAGGUAAAAGACACUUGUUAGUAUACAACCAACUUUACCAACCAGCCUGCAUAUUGACAAAUAUAGCAUCUCAAAAUUUUGUCAGUUUGUGUAUCAAUCCAAGGAGAAUAUAAUCAUAUUUACUCUAAGACCUUAAGAAAUGUGCUAAAUUGAUCAUCACUGUCACACUUGUCCUCAGCUGAUUCUUUCUCAGAAAUACAGAUGCCGAUUAGAGUCAUGAUAAAUUGUGAAUUGGAGCCAUGGCAACUCAAAAACAGAAUCAACUCACUAAAAGCACAUGCUCUACAAAAACUAUCAACCAAAGCAAAAGCAACGGCAAAAACACUUUAGGGUGCAUGUCACCUAAAGAGUAGCAAGAUUUUCUUCAGAGUUCAAAAAGAACAAAUACGUCUCUCGCUUUGAAGGAUAGCAAUACCUCUUUUAAUCUGGCGAUGAUAAGUAUUGACAUGAAAAGUGGAGCAUCUCUAUCUUGAGGGGGGAAAAGACUGAAUCUCAUUAAAACAGAAUUUGGGUAGAGCCUCACAUUCGAAAAACAAAUUUGAACAUUGGAUUGGAAUUACCUUUUUCACAAGAUAUUCCCAG